GUAUUGCAUGAAAGGAGAGAAGGUUAGCACUGCCCUA
rnacentral:snRNA from 1 species